rnacentral:rRNA from 1 species
UACGAAGGGUGCUAGCGUUGCUCGGAAUCACUGGGCGUAAAGCGCACGUAGGCGGUCUCUUAAGUCGGUUGUGAAAUCCUGGAGCUCAACUCCAGAACUGCCUUCGAUACUGAGAGUCUCGAGUCCGAGAGAGGUGAGUGGAACUGCGAGUGUAGAGGUGAAAUUCGUAGAUAUUCGCAAGAACACCAGUGGCGAAGGCGGCUCACUGGCUCGGUACUGACGCUGAGGUGCGAAAGCGUGGGGAGCAAACAGG